rnacentral:rRNA from 1 species
ACAGCAGCCGCCGCGGGAAUACGGAGGGGGCUAGCGUUGUUCGGAAUUACUGGGCGUAAAGCGCACGUAGGCGGCUUUGUAAGUCAGAGGUGAAAGCCCGGGGCUCAACCCCGGAAUUGCCUUUGAGACUGCAUCGCUUGAAUCCAGGAGAGGUGAGUGGAAUUCCGAGUGUAUAGGUGAAAUUCGUAGAUAUUCGGAAGAACACCAGUGGCGAAGGCGGCUCACUGGACUGGUAUUGACGCUGAGGUGCGAAAGCGUGGGGAGCAAACAGGAUUAGAUACCCGAGUAGUCCCUGUCUCUUAUAA